GGGUGUGUAGUUCAGUGGUAGAACGCUACGUUGACAUCGUAGAGGUCAUAAGUUCAAUUCUUAUCACACCCACCA
rnacentral:tRNA from 3 species